UCCCCAGUGGCGCAAUCGGUUAGCGCACGGUACGCAUAAUGCCGGCGUUGUGAGUUCGAGUUUCGCCUGAGGAA
rnacentral:tRNA from 1 species